ensembl:snRNA U2 U2 spliceosomal RNA
GUCGCUUCUUGGCCUUUUGGCUGAGAUCGAGUGUAGUGUCUGUUCUUAUCAGUUUAAUAUCUGAUAAUAAAACUAAAACAAGAAUGAACUGAAUCAUAAUGGCAACACUAAUU